CCUACGGGCGGCACCAGUGGGAAUAUUGCACAAUGGGCGCAAGCCUGAUGCAGCCAUGCCGCGUGUAUGAAGAAGGCCUUCGGGUUGUAAAGUACUUUCAGCGGGGAGGAAGGUGUUGUGGUUAAUAACCACAGCAAUUGACGUUACCCGCAGAAGAAGCACCGGCUAACUCCGUGCCAGCAGCCGCGGUAAUACGGAGGGUGCAAGCGUUAACCGGAAUUACUGGGCGUAAAGCGCACGCAGGCGGUCUGUCAAGUCGGAUGUGAAAUCCCCAGGCUCAACCUGGGAACUGCAUUCGAAACUGGCAGGCUAGAGUCUUGUAGAGGGGGGUAGAAUUCCAGGUGUAGCGGUGAAAUGCGUAGAGAUCUGGAGGAAUACCGGUGGCGAAGGCGGCCCCCUGGACAAAGACUGACGCUCAGGUGCGAAAGCGGGGGGAGCAAACAGGAUUAGAUACCCCUGUAGUC
rnacentral:rRNA from 1 species